rnacentral:rRNA from 1 species
AACGAACGCUGGCGGCGUGCUUAACACAUGCAAGUCGAACGCGAAAGGGACUUCGGUCCUGAGUAAAGUGGCGCACGGGUGAGUAACGCGUAGAUAACCUGUCUUCAUGUCUGGAAUAAUACGCCGAAAGGGGUACUAAUACCGGAUAUUCUUGCUUUUCAUAAGUUAUGCAAGCAAAGGUGGCCUCUGCAUAUGCUACUGCAUGAGGAGGGGUCUGCGUACCAUUAGCUAGUAGGUGGGGUAAUGGCCUACCUAGGCGACGAUGGUUAGCGGGUCUGAGAGGAUGAUCCGCCACACUGGCACUGGAACACGGGCCAGACUCCUACGGGAGGCAGCAGUGAGGAAUAUUGCGCAAUGGGGGAAACCCUGACGCAGCGACGCCGCGUGAGUGAGGAAAAGGCCUUCGGGUCGUAAAGCUCUGUCAAGAGGAAAGAAGUGUACAAUGGCUAAUACCUGUUGUAUUUGACGGUACCUCUAAAGGAAGCACCGGCUAACUCCGUGCCAGCAGCUGC